rnacentral:rRNA from 1 species
GUUGUAUAGUCAAGUAAUUAAGUGCAUGUGGUGGAUGCCUUGGCAGUCAGAGGCGAUGAAAGACGUGAUAGCCUGCGAAAAGCUCCGGGGAGGCGGCAAAUAUCCUUUGAUCCGGAGAUGUCUGAAUGGGGGAACCCACCUACUUUAAGGUAGGUAUUGCAACAUGAAUACAUAGUGUUGCAAGGCGAACGAGGGGAAGUGAAACAUCUCAGUACCCUUAGGAAAAGAAAUCAAUUGAGAUUCCCUCAGUAGCGGCGAGCGAACGGGGAUCAGCCCAUUAAGUUAUGUGUGUUUUAGUGGAACGCUCUGGGAAGUGCGAACGUAGAGGGUGAUAUUCCCGUACACGAAAGGGCACACAUAAUGAUGACGAGUAGGGCGAGGCACGUGAAACCUUGUCUGAAUAUGGGGGGACCAUCCUCCAAGGCUAAAUACUCCUGACUGACCGAUAGUGAACCAGUACCGUGAGGGAAAGGCGAAAAGAACCCCUGUGAGGGGAGUGAAAUAGAUCCUGAAACCGCAUGCAUACAAGCAGUGGGAGCACCUUCGUGGUGUGACUGCGUACCUUUUGUAUAAUGGGUCAGCGACUUAUAUUCAGUAGCGAGGUUAACCGUAUAGGGGAGCCGUAGAGAAAUCGAGUCUUAAUAGGGCGUUUAGUUGCUGGGUAUAGACCCGAAACCAGGCGAUCUAUCCAUGAGCAGGUUGAAGGUUGGGUAACACUAACUGGAGGACCGAACCCACUGUCGUUGAAAAGCCAGGGGAUGACUUGUGGAUAGGGGUGAAAGGCUAAUCAAGCCUGGUGAUAGCUGGUUCUCCCCGAAAGCUAUUUAGGUAGCGCCUCGGACGAAUACCAUAGGGGGUAGAGCACUGUUUCGGCUAGGGGGUCAUCCCGACUUACCAAACCGAUGCAAACUCCGAAUACCUAUGAGUACUAUCCGGGAGACAGACUGCGGGUGCUAACGUCCGUAGUCAAGAGGAAAACAAUCCAGACCGCCAGCUAAGGCCCCAAAAUCAUAGUUAAGUGGGAAACGAUGUGGGAAGGCAUAGACAGCUAGGAGGUUGGCUUAGAAGCAGCCACCCUUUAAAGAAAGCGUAAUAGCUCACUAGUCGAGUCGGCCUGCGCGGAAGAUGUAACGGGGCUAAAACUAUGUGCCGAAGCUGCGGAUNNNNNNNNNNNNNNNNNNNNNNNNNNNNNNNNNNNNNUGCUGGAGGUAUCAGAAGUGCGAAUGCUGACGUGAGUAACGACAAAACGGGUGAAAAACCCGUUCGCCGAAAGACCAAGGGUUCCAGUCCAACGUUAAUCGGGGCUGGGUGAGUCGACCCCUAAGGCGAGGCCGAAAGGCGUAGUCGAUGGGAAAAUGGUUAAUAUUCCAUUACUUCUGUGUAAUGCGAUGAGAGGACGGAGAAGGCUAAAUCAGCCUGGCGUUGGUUGUCCAGGUGAAAGGAUGUAGGCAUGUAUCUUAGGCAAAUCCGGGGUACUCUAUGCUGAGAUCUGAUAGCAAGCUGUACUUGUACAGCGAAGUGGUUGAUGCCAUGCUUCCAGGAAAAGUCUCUAAGCUUCAGUUACACAGGAAUCGUACCCGAAACCGACACAGGUGGUCAGGUCGAGUAGACCAAGGCGCUUGAGAGAACUCUGCUGAAGGAACUAGGCAAAAUGGUACCGUAACUUCGGGAGAAGGUACGCUGUUGUUGGUGAUGGAACUCGCUUCCUGAGCUGACGACAGCCGCAGAAACCAGGCCGCUGCAACUGUUUAUUAAAAACAUAGCACUCUGCAAACACGAAAGUGGACGUAUAGGGUGUGAUGCCUGCCCGGUGCUGGAAGGUUAAUUGAUGGGGUUAGCGUAAGCGAAGCUCUUGAUCGAAGCCCCAGUAAACGGCGGCCGUAACUAUAACGGUCCUAAGGUAGCGAAAUUCCUUGUCGGGUAAGUUCCGACCUGCACGAAUGGCAUAAUGAUGGCGGCGCUGUCUCCAGCAGAGGCUCAGUGAAAUCGAAAUCGCUGUGAAGAUGCAGUGUACCCGCGGCUAGACGGAAAGACCCCGUGAACCUUUACUGCAGCUUGACACUGAACUUUGACCUUACUUGUGUAGGAUAGGUGGGAGGCUUUGAAGCUGGAACGCUAGUUCCAGUGGAGCCGUCCUUGAAAUACCACCCUGGUAAUGUUGAGGUUCUAACUCUGUCCCGUGAUCCGGGACGAGGACCGUGUCUGGUGGGUAGUUUGACUGGGGCGGUCUCCUCCUAAAGAGUAACGGAGGAGUACGAAGGUGCGCUCAGCGUGGUCGGAAAUCACGCGUAGAGUAUAAAGGCAAAAGCGCGCUUAACUGCGAGACCCACAAGUCGAGCAGGUACGAAAGUAGGUCUUAGUGAUCCGGUGGUUCUGUAUGGAAGGGCCAUCGCUCAACGGAUAAAAGGUACUCUGGGGAUAACAGGCUGAUACCGCCCAAGAGUUCAUAUCGACGGCGGUGUUUGGCACCUCGAUGUCGGCUCAUCUCAUCCUGGGGCUGAAGCAGGUCCCAAGGGUAUGGCUGUUCGCCAUUUAAAGAGGUACGCGAGCUGGGUUUAGAACGUCGUGAGACAGUUCGGUCCCUAUCUACCGUGGGCGCUGGAAAUUUGAGAGGAUCUGCUCCUAGUACGAGAGGACCAGAGUGGACGAACCUCUGGUGUACCGGUUGUGACGCCAGUCGCAUCGCCGGGUAGCUAUGUUCGGAAGGGAUAACCGCUGAAAGCAUCUAAGCGGGAAGCCUACCUCAAGAUAAGAUUUCCCUAGGACUUUAUGUCCUCUAAAGAGCCGUUCGAGACUAGGACGUUGAUAGGUUGGAUGUGGAAGCAUAGUGAUAUGUGAAGCUGACCAAUACUAAUUGCUCGUGAGGCUUGACUAUACAACACCCAAGCAGUUG